rnacentral:rRNA from 1 species
AAGGAUCAUUACAGAGUUCAUGCCCUCACGGGUAGAUCUCCCACCCUUGAAUAUUAUACCUUAGUUGCUUUGGCAGGCCGGGGCAACCCCCGGGGCUUCGGCCUCGGUGCGCCUGCCAGAGGAAACAAACUCUGUUUUUAGUGAUGUCUGAGUACUAUAUAAUAGUUAAAACUUUCAACAACGGAUCUCUUGGUUCUGGCAUCGAUGAAGAACGCAGCGAAAUGCGAUAAGUAAUGUGAAUUGCAGAAUUCAGUGAAUCAUCGAAUCUUUGAACGCACAUUGCGCCCCGUGGUAUUCCGCGGGGCAUGCCUGUUCGAGCGUCAUUUCAACCCAUCAAGCUUCGGCUUGGUCUUGGGGCCUGCGAUUCCGCAGCCUCUAAACCCAGUGGCGGUGCCUCCGAGCUCUGAGCGUAGUAAUUCUUCUCGCUAUAGGGUCUCGGUGGUGUCUUGCCAGUAACCCCCAAUGUUUUUACAGGUUGACCUCGGAUCAGGUAGGGAUACCCGCUGAACUUAAGCAUAUCAAUAAGCGGAGGAAAAGAAACCAACAGGGAUUACCUCAGUAACGGCGAGUGAAGCGGUAACAGCUCAAAUUUGAAAUCUGCCGCAAGGCCGAGUUGUAAUUUGUAGAAGAUGCUUUGGGUAUGGCCCCGGUCUAAGUUCGUUGGAACACGACGUCAUAGAGGGUGAGAAUCCCGUAUGUGACUGGGUGCUUUUGCCUAUGUAAAGCUCUUUCGACGAGUCGAGUUGUUUGGGAAUGCAGCUCAAAAUGGGUGGUAUAUUUCAUCUAAAGCUAAAUAUUGGCCAGAGACCGAUAGCGCACAAGUAGAGUGAUCGAAAGAUGAAAAGCACUUUGGAAAGAGGGUUAAACAGUACGUGAAAUUGUUGAAAGGGAAGCGCUUGCAACCAGACUUGCACGCUGUUGAUCAUCCAGGCUUCUGUCUGGUGCACUCGGCAGCGUUCAGGCCAGCAUCGGUUCUGGUGGUGGGAUAAAGGCCUUGGGAAUGUAGCUUCUUUCGGGGAGUGUUAUAGCCCUCGGUGCAAUGCCGCCUAUCGGGACCGAGGACCGCGCUUCGGCUAGGAUGCUGGCGUAAUGGUUGUAAGCGACC